UUAAAGAGUAACCUAAAUUCAAAUGUAAAAACCUUAUGGUUUCAUUAAAAUGUAAUGUAAUAGGCAUUUUUGCCCGGGCCCAACAAAAAAAAACACUAAGAAUAAAAAAAAUAAUAAAUAAGUCCAAAGUCAAAAUUGCAAUACCAGCCCAAAUUGCAAAUUUAAAACCUAAAUUACAAACCCAUUACCCGGGGCCCGACUAGCCCAAAACCUUAACUAGUUUCAGUAAAACAAAAACCCUAAGCCCCUCUGCGCCG
rnacentral:lncRNA from 1 species